rnacentral:lncRNA from 1 species
CCAGUCUCCCAGACAUGGAUUUAUAACCUGGAUUUCCGAGCUCUCGAGGAAAGCAAGCACUUGGAUUACCCUGCAGAAAGCACACGGGGAGCGCAAGGCGGACGCGCCGCAAAGCCAACACACUGCCGGGAGCCCUUCUGGGCAAGGACAUCUCAGAAAACUCCACUUACUGUAAGGGUCCUCCAUAUCCAUUUCAUCUGAGAGCAUCAAUGCAUUCACUUUGUUGCUGUUACAUUAUAAAAGGUGUUAAAAGUAGGAAGCAGAUGAGUCUUAUGGAAAUGUACCAGUUACGUGAUGAACUCUCACUGUUUUUCAAGAUAAUACAUGCAACUGAUAGAAGAAUAAUGAAGGUAUUACAAUCCUGCAGUACUCGUUGAUAAAUCCCUCAGCUGUCAGCACCAGACUUGCUGUAUUGAAAAGAGCCCUUG